GAUGAAGAACGCAGCGAAAUGCGAUAAGUAAUGUGAAUUGCAGAAUUCAGUGAAUCAUCGAAUCUUUGAACGCACAUUGCGCCCGCCAGUAUUCUGGCGGGCAUGCCUGUUCGAGCGUCAUUUCAACCAUCAAGCCCUGCUUGCGUUGGGGUCCUGCGGCUGCCCGCAGGCCCUGAAAACCAGUGGCGGGCUCGCUAGUCACACCGAGCGCAGUAAUACAUCUCGCUUUGGGCGUGCGGCGGGUUCUUGCCGUUAAACUCCCCCUUUUUACCAAGGUUGACCUCGGAUCAGGUAGGAAUACCCGCUGAACUUAAGCAUAUCAAUAAGCGGAGGA
rnacentral:misc_RNA from 1 species